CGUCAUAUUUCUGCGCGGACGGCACGGCCAUUGGGGGUCAUGAGGGGGCAAAAAGGACGCGUUUCGUAUUUUCACAUGCCCCGUGGAGACAGAAAUGCCAGGUUCCCCUGAGAUGAGCGCGCGCACUGAGCAGCCAUUGGCCGAAGGUCAUGGAAUAGGCAGAAUAGCGCUCCCGAGGAGCCGCCAUAAUGGGACGGUCAGGGAUGGGGAAAAUACAGCGCUGCACAACCGCCAUUACAAGAAGGUCAGAGGCAAUCGGUGGCAGUUGAAGGCAGGUACUGAGAUGUGGGUGGAGGCGUGCCCCAGUGCGGGCUAAACCGCCACUGAACAAGGAGAGGGCCUCCCUCGGCUUCUCGACAUACCUAAUUGGGCUGGCGGCACCGCCAUUUGGAGAAGUUCCUAUUAACUUUGGGUAGAUGAGAGAAAGGCCAGCCUUCUGGCAGAGACCAAAAGGAGCUGCCACCCUGAGACCAUCCAGGGAAAUGAAAACCAGACAGUUACCUGUGGAGUAAGAGCAAAUAGAAGUUUGCUGAGUAUUGAGGGAGGACUGCAAAGACUCUUGUCAGCAUGAGAUUCUGUUGCAGGGUGUUGUCUCCACCACCUUCUGCCCCCAGCAGCUGACUACGGAGUGAUGAGAGGGACAGCAGCUCCAGCUGUGGAAGAACGGGCAGG